rnacentral:rRNA from 1 species
GAGAGGUGCUGCAUGGCUGUCGUCAGCUCGUGUUGUGAAAUGUUGGGUUAAGUCUCGCAACGAGCGCAACCCCUAUCGUCUGUUGCCAGCAUUAAGUUGGGCACUCUGACGAGACUGCCUGGGUUAACCAGGAGGAAGGUGGGGAUGACGUCAAGUCCUCAUGGCCCUUAUGUCUAGGGCUACACACGUAAUACAAUGGCGCGUACAAUGGGAAGCGAACUCGCAAGGGGGAGCAAAUCUCAAAAAGCGCGUCUCAGUUCGGAUUGAAGUCUGCAACUCGACUUCAUGAAGUUGGAAUCGCUAGUA